rnacentral:rRNA from 1 species
AAGAGUUUGAUCAUGGCUCAGGACGAACGCUGGCGGCGUGCUUAACACAUGCAAGUCGAACGGAAAGGCCCCUUCGGGGGUACUCGAGUGGCGAACGGGUGAGUAACACGUGGGUAAUCUGCCCUGCACUUCGGGAUAAGCCUGGGAAACUGGGUCUAAUACCGGAUAGGACCUCAAGGCGCAUGCCUUUAGGUGGAAAGCUUUUGCGGUGUGGGAUGGGCCCGCGGCCUAUCAGCUUGUUGGUGGGGUGACGGCCUACCAAGGCGACGACGGGUAGCCGGCCUGAGAGGGUGUCCGGCCACACUGGGACUGAGAUACGGCCCAGACUCCUACGGGAGGCAGCAGUGGGGAAUAUUGCACAAUGGGCGCAAGCCUGAUGCAGCGACGCCGCGUGGGGGAUGACGGCCUUCGGGUUGUAAACCUCUUUCACCAUCGACGAAGGUCCGGGUUUCUCGGAUUGACGGUAGGUGGAGAAGAAGCACCGGCCAACUACGUGCCAGCAGCUGCGGUAAUACGUAGGGUGCGAGCGUUGUCCGGAAUUACUGGGCGUAAAGAGCUCGUAGGUGGUUUGUCGCGUUGUUCGUGAAAUCUCACGGCUUAACUGUGAGCGUGCGGGCGAUACGGGCAGACUGGAGUACUGCAGGGGAGACUGGAAUUCCUGGUGUAGCGGUGGAAUGCGCAGAUAUCAGGAGGAACACCGGUGGCGAAGGCGGGUCUCUGGGCAGUAACUGACGCUGAGGAGCGAAAGCGUGGGGAGCGAACAGGAUUAGAUACCCUGGUAGUCCACGCCGUAAACGGUGGGUACUAGGUGUGGGUUUCCUUCCUUGGGAUCCGUGCCGUAGCUAACGCAUUAAGUACCCCGCCUGGGGAGUACGGCCGCAAGGCUAAAACUCAAAGGAAUUGACGGGGGCCCGCACAAGCGGCGGAGCAUGUGGAUUAAUUCGAUGCAACGCGAAGAACCUUACCUGGGUUUGACAUGCACAGGACGCGUCUAGAGAUAGGCGUUCCCUUGUGGCCUGUGUGCAGGUGGUGCAUGGCUGUCGUCAGCUCGUGUCGUGAGAUGUUGGGUUAAGUCCCGCAACGAGCGCAACCCUUGUCUCAUGUUGCCAGCGGGUAAUGCCGGGGACUCGUGAGAGACUGCCGGGGUCAACUCGGAGGAAGGUGGGGAUGACGUCAAGUCAUCAUGCCCCUUAUGUCCAGGGCUUCACACAUGCUACAAUGGCCGGUACAAAGGGCUGCGAUGCCGUGAGGUUAAGCGAAUCCUUUUAAAGCCGGUCUCAGUUCGGAUCGGGGUCUGCAACUCGACCCCGUGAAGUCGGAGUCGCUAGUAAUCGCAGAUCAGCAACGCUGCGGUGAAUACGUUCCCGGGCCUUGUACACACCGCCCGUCACGUCAUGAAAGUCGGUAACACCCGAAGCCAGUGGCCUAACCCUUGGGAGGGAGCUGUCGAAGGUGGGAUCGGCGAUUGGGACGAAGUCGUAACAAGGUAGCCGUACCGGAAGGUGCGGCUGGAUCACCUCCUUUCUAAGGAGCACCACGAAAAGCACCCCAACUGGUGGGGUGUAAGCCGUGAGGGGUUUUCGUCUGUAGUGGACGAGAGCCGGGUGCACGACAACAAACAAGCCAGACACACUAUUGGGUCCUGAGGCAACACUCGGGCUUGUUCCAAGGUGUUGUCCCCACCAUCUUGGUGGUGGGGUGUGGUGUUUGAGAAUUGGAUAGUGGUUGCGAGCAUCAAUUGGAUGCGCUACCCGUAGGGUUGCGAAUCCAUUUAGAUGUGCAAUUUUAAUUCUUUGGUUUUUGUAGUGUUUGUAAGUGUCUAAGGGCACAUGGUGGAUGCCUUGGCAUCGAGAGCCGAUGAAGGACGUGGGAGGCUGCGAUAUGCCUCGGGGAGCUGUCAACCGAGCGUGGAUCCGAGGAUUUCCGAAUGGGGAAACCCAACACGAGUUAUGUCGUGUUACCCGUAUCUGAAUAUAUAGGGUGCGGGAGGGAACGCGGGGAAGUGAAACAUCUCAGUACCCGUAGGAGAAGAAAACAAUUGUGAUUCCGCAAGUAGUGGCGAGCGAACGCGGAACAUGGCUAAACCGCACGCAUGGGUAACCGGGUAGGGGUUGUGUGUGCGGGGUUGUGGGAGUGAUACGUCUCAGCUCUACCCAGCUGAGGGGCAGUCAGAAAGUGUCGCGGUUAGCGGAAGUGGCCUGGGAUGGUCUGCCGCAGACGGUGAGAGCCCGGUACGCGAAAACCCGGCACCUGCCUUGUAUCAGUUCCCGAGUAGCAGCGGGCCCGUGGAAUCUGCUGUGAAUCUGCCGGGACCACCCGGUAA